UACGUAGGGUCCGAGCGUUGUCCGGAAUUACUGGGCGUAAAGAGCUCGUAGGUGGUUUGUCGCGUUGUUCGUGAAAACUCACAGCUCAACUGUGGGCGUGCGGGCGAUACGGGCAGACUAGAGUACUGCAGGGGAGACUGGAAUUCCUGGUGUAGCGGUGGAAUGCGCAGAUAUCAGGAGGAACACCGGUGGCGAAGGCGCUGCUCUGGGCCGAAACUGACGCUGAGGAGCGAAAGCGUGGGUAGCAAACAGG
rnacentral:rRNA from 1 species